UACUAAGGUAGUACGGACGUUUUAGGUACACUUCUAACAGUUAUAACCCGAAAGCGCAAUCUCGUUUUGAGUUUUUCAUAGGGGGAUGGAAUAAUUCAGGCGGUGGGAAUAAUCUACUACAGGAAACGUAAUAUUAAAUACUAAUGAUUAUUAAAGCAAACAAAAACAAAGAUUAUGGAUUUAUCUAUGUAUGGCGAAAAUUUGAAUUUUAGCAGUUCUGAUGAAAUAAGCUCUGAUGAAGAAAGCGGAAAUAUAAAAGAAGUCUAUGAACAAAGUUUGAGUAUCAUUGAAAAUAAUUGUUUACCUACACGUGAUAUUGUUUAUGAAAUGAUUGCAAAAAAUCAUGUUCUAUGGGAAGAUUAUGCCAUACAGUAUUCAGGCAUACCUCAUAUGGUUGUUGGUCACAAAAUUUUAGAUUGUCACCAUGGUUUUGAUAGGAAUAUUUCAGCGAAAAAUAGUUAUUAAAAAAAUAAAAAAAAUGCCAAGAUGGAUGAUCACAGCUUUCAAAAAAAUUAUGUGAUUCUACAAGAUACAAAAAAGUUUAUGUGUCCUGCAAAGAUACCCGGUGGGAAGUCGGCUAGCGAAUAGCUAGCUAUAAUCGUUACGAUAAAGACAGCGAUUUGGCCACGAAGAUUGCUAGCUUUUUAAAGUUAGCAAAAAGCUAUCGAUAUUUGUAAAGACAAAGACAGCGAUUUGGCUACGAGGACAGCUAGCUUAAUAAGCUUAAGACUCACAGGCUAUUGUAGCUACCGUUAUAUCGUAAUAAAAUCGCUAUCAAAAAAAUUUUGAUACCUAAGCAUUCAGCUUGGCACAAAAAAAAAGCAUUAAAACUAUUGAAAGAAAAAUUAAAAUUGUCAUGUUUAAAUGAAGUACCUUUUAUUCGGAAAGUUGUUGUAGCUAUUGAUGAUUUAUCAUGUCACGAUAAACACCCUAUUGGAAAGGUAGAACUAAUUUCUCAAAUAAUCGAUCCUCAUAUUUCAAAAAAGGUUGAAGAAUAUAUUAGAAGGAAUAUACAAUAUAAGGGAAAUGAAGCACCUCCUUCGUUUGACAGUAAAAGAUACUUUUGGAAAUGAAAAUCUUCCUCCUUCAAAUAGCAGAAGAUUCUAUCCCAACACUGCAACCAUAAGAUCACAUAUAGUAAAAAUUAGAAAAAAGUUACGGCAUUCCAUGAUUGACCAAGAAUGUCUUUUGAUAAAAUGUGAAGAAUGGAAAAAAUGUGAUCCGUCUGUCAAAGUGUUUCUUAGACCAAACUGUAGUGGCGAAGAUGGUGGUGAUAAAUGUUCAUUUUUAUUUGUUUAUCAGUCACAGUGGCAACAACACCUCAUGCGCUAUGGAACUGAGAUACUGCUACUUGAUGCCACAUACAGGACUACCAGAUAUUCUCUUCCUCUCUUCUUUUUAACUGUAAAAACUAAUUUUGACUACCAAAUAGUAGCCAGUUUUGUUAUUUAAUGUAAAACAAAACAAGCCAUCACAGAAGCGCUUCACAUAAUAAAAGAUUGGAACCCAUCCUUUCAACCUUCCUUUUGCAUGACUGAUUAUUGUACUGAAGAAAUGGAUUCAUUAGAAGCUGUUUUUCCAGGUUGCCGUGUUCUUAUAUGUGAUUUCCAUAGAGAGCAGGCAUGGCAUUGCUGGAUUGUCAAAAAAACAAACAACUGCUCAGAAUUUAAAGACCCAAUAAUUUCAAUGCUACAAAAUAUUGCAUGGGCACAAAAUAAAAAGAUGGCAGAUGCAGCAAUAGUUAAGCUAAAAUGUUCCAACUUUUGGUUGGACAACAAAUUUCAAAAAUUUAAGAAAUAUAUUACUAAUUAUUGGUUACAAAUUAAAGAAAAAUGGAUAUGGUAUCGUCAGGAUAGAUGGUAUGGUAUCCUCAGGAUAGAUUUUUAGUAAACCUUUAUACCAACAAUGGAAUUGAAAGGCAACAUGAAUCUUUUAAUUAUUCAUAUCUUCAAAGACAUAAAAAUUCAUCAAUUACUGGAAUGCUUACUCUUUUAAUAGAAGAGUUUUUUGCAAAUAAAUUUGAGAAGUAUAUUAAAAAGUUUUAUUGUAGCCUGAUUUGAAGAAGUUUAUAUUAUUAUUUU